GGCUCGGUAGCAGAUGGACCGCAUCUGCUUUCCAUCACAAGUGUGCGAGCAAAUAAUGCAGAUUUCGCCUGUUCGACUCAGGCUCGAGCCA